rnacentral:rRNA from 1 species
UGGGGAAUAUUGCACAAUGGGCGAAAGCCUGAUGCAGCAACGCCGCGUGAGCGAAGAAGGUCUUCGGAUCGUAAAGCUCUGUCCUUGGGGAAGAUAAUGACGGUACCCUUGGAGGAAGCCCCGGCUAACUACGUGCCAGCAGCCGCGGUAAUACGUAUGGUGCAAGCGUUAUCCGGAUUUACUGGGUGUAAAGGGAGCGCAGACGGCAUGGCAAGCCAGAUGUGAAAGGUGGGGGCUCAACCCCCAAGCUGCAUUUGGAACUGUCAAGCUAGAGUAUCGGAGAGGUAAGUGGAAUUCCUAGUGUAGCGGUGAAAUGCGUAGAUAUUAGGAGGAACACCAGUGGCGAAGGCGGCUUACUGGACGAUAACUGACGUUGAGGCUCGAAAGCGUGGGGAGCAAACAGGAUUAGAUACCCUGGUAGU